CUGCAAGCUCUCAAAAAGAUAUCUCAGGAGCACCCAACUGCCUGUUUGCGAGCUGGUGCUCUUAUGGCUGUCCUCUCGUAUCUGGAUUUCUUCUCCACUGGUGUUCAGCGUGUAGCACUAUCUACUGCUGCUAAUAUGUGCA